rnacentral:rRNA from 1 species
UACGUAGGGGGCAAGCGUUGUCCGGAAUUAUUGGGCGUAAAGGGCGCGCAGGCGGUCUUCUAAGUCUGAUGUGAAAGCCCACGGCUCAACCGUGGAAGGUCAUUGGAAACUGGGGGACUUGAGUGCAGGAGAGGAGAGUGGAAUUCCACGUGUAGCGGUGAAAUGCGUAGAGAUGUGGAGGAACACCAGUGGCGAAGGCGGCUCUCUGGCCUGUAACUGACGCUGAGGCGCGAAAGCGUGGGUAGCGAACAGG